AUUGUCCAUUUGUUAAAUCUGAGAGUGAUCCAACUCCUUCAUUGUCUGCAAAGUGCAUUUCAAAGCUUCCUCUCCCUUGUAGCAACAAGGACAGAGUACUCAAAAUAUGAAGAUUUUUGAAUUACUAUCCUAAAUAUAUAAAAAGAGCCUCUGAUGGUCCGUUCAAUACCUGCUAUUUGAUGGAGUGAUUAGCUAGCAUUGAAGAAACAUCUUGUGUCUGGCUGUUUUAUUGAAAAUGUUUUUCCUUUUU